AGACCUUAAACAGAGCGAGACCUCUGAACGUCUGAAGUGGCUCCUCCUAGCUGUCAACAACGCACCACGGCUGGAGACGUCAAAAGGUCAUGAAGGGGGUCUCUGGUCUCCAUGGUUACUUCACGGACCCAGCCAGCGAUGAAGCCCCGCCCCUUGAUCUCUGAUUGGCCAGAAGACUCAAAACCACAGCGAUGACUGGACAGUUGAGCUGUCGUUCAGGUUUCCAUGGCAAGAGUAUAACGCAGUCGAACGGCGGAGUUGCAGCCAAUCACAGCAGCAGGACGCUGGAUGAAAUUGGCGCGUCACCAGCGACAUCUCCCGGUCAAAAGAAGCAAUUACACUAAAAGUUUUAAAAUGUCUCCUGAAAACAAAUAUAAACGUUUACCUGAAGUAAAUAUAUGAACGCAGAGGAAAUAUUUUCUCUGUGGAAAGUUUCCACUUUCCAGGUGUAAAACAGGAAAAAAUAUUAUUAUUAUUAUUAUUGUUUUUACAUUAAGAGUCUUCAGUGUAAAACAAUCAUAAACUAAUUAAAAUAACAUUAUUGGGGUCUCUUUAAUUUUUUUUGUAACCUUAUUUACAAUAAAACAACGUUUUAUGCAAUAAAUGGCAGCUAAAGUUUUUAAAAAGUAUUCUCAGACUGCUUAAAAGAGAUAAACCACUCCAACAAUGUUGUGCUGUAGUAGGAAAAUAAUCAACGAUGAGGUGAUGUGUUAAACAGAGUCAUCCCUUCCAACCCAAACCGGAUUAUUUUCCAAUAUCAUCACGUUUUAUUUCAUCUUGUACCACAGCAAUAUGGCAAUGAUUUACAUUUUUAAUUUAUUAAAGGAUGACACAUCAUACUUU